rnacentral:rRNA from 1 species
UGCCAGACUCCUACGGGAGGCAGCAGUGGGGAAUAUUGCACAAUGGGGGAAACCCUGAUGCAGCGACGCCGCGUGAGUGAAGAAGUAAUUCGUUAUGUAAAGCCCUAUCAGCAGGGAAGAAAAUGACGGUACCUGAGUAAGAAGCCCCGGCUAACUACGUGCCAGCAGCCGCGGUAAUACGUAGGGGGCAAGCGUUAUCCGGAUUUACUGGGUGUAAAGGGAGCGUAGACGGCAGCGCAAGUCUGGAGUGAAAUGCCGGGGCUCAACCCCGGAACUGCUUUGGAAACUGUGCAGCUAGAGUGCGGGAGAGGUAAGCGGAAUUCCUAGUGUAGCGGUGAAAUGCGUAGAUAUUAGGAGGAACACCAGUGGCGAAGGCGGCUUGCUGGACCGUAACUGACGUUGAGGCUCGAAAGCGUGGGGAGCAAACAGGAUUAGAUACCCGUGUAU